rfam:Oryctolagus cuniculus cont2.11692, whole genome shotgun sequence.
CUAUUAUGCUAAGUUGAGGGCUGUUUUAUUAUUAUCUUCAUUUUUAUCAUUAUUAAACC